GUGAGGUAACGGCUCACCAAGGCGAUGACGGGUAGCGGGUCUGAGAGGAUGAUCCGUCACACUGGGACUGAGACACUGCCCAGACUCCUACGGGAGGCUGCAGUCGAGAAUCUUCCACAAUGGGCGAAAGCCUGAUGGAGCGACGCUGCGUGUAGGAUGAAGGCCUUAGGGUUGUAAACUACUGUCACGCCAUAGGAACCCGUAGUCGUUAAUAGCGGCUACGCUGACCAAAGCGAGAGGAAGUGCCGGCUAACUCCGUGCCAGCAGCCGCGGUAAGACGGAGGGCGCAAGCGUUGUUCGGAAUCACUGGGCAUAAAGAGUACGUAGGCGGUCUGCUAAGUCAGAUGUGAAAGCCCUGGGCUUAACCCGGGAACUGCAUUUGAUACUGGCAGACUUGAGGACAGCAGGGGUGAGUGGAACUUCAGGUGGAACGGUGAAAUGUGUAGAUAUCUGAAGGAACACCGGUGGCGAAAGCGGCUCACUGGGCCGUCUCUGACGCUGAGGUACGAAAGCUAGGGUAGCGAACGGGAUUAGAUACCCCGGUAGUCCUAGCCGUAAACGAUGGGCACUAGGCAUUGGGCCCUCCUAUGAGGUUCAAUGCCGUAGCUAAUGUGUUAAGUG
rnacentral:rRNA from 1 species